GACGAACGCCGGCGGCGUGCCUAAUACAUGCAAGUCGAGCGGACGGAUGGGAGCUUGCUCCCAGACCGUCAGCGGCGGACGGGUGAGUAACACGUGGGCAACCUGCCUGUAAGACUGGGAUAACUCCGGGAAACCGGGGCUAAUACCGGAUAACUCUUUCCCUCACAUGAGGGAAAGCUGAAAGAUGGCAUCUCGCUAUCACUUACAGAUGGGCCCGCGGCGCAUUAGCUAGUUGGUGAGGUAACGGCUCACCAAGGCGACGAUGCGUAGCCGACCUGAGAGGGUGAUCGGCCACACUGGGACUGAGACACGGCCCAGACUCCUACGGGAGGCAGCAGUAGGGAAUCUUCCGCAAUGGACGAAAGUCUGACGGAGCAACGCCGCGUGAGUGAUGAAGGUUUUCGGAUCGUAAAACUCUGUUGUCAGGGAAGAACAAGUACCGGAGUAACUGCCGGUACCUUGACGGUACCUGACCAGAAAGCCACGGCUAACUACGUG
rnacentral:rRNA from 1 species